rnacentral:rRNA from 1 species
GAGUUUGAUCCUGGCUCAGGACGAACGCUGGCGGCGUGCUUAACACAUGCAAGUGGAGCGACGAACCAGGGCUUGCCCUGGGGCAGAGCCGCGAACGGGUGAGUAACACGUGGGUAACCUACCCCGAUGACCGGGACAACCCGAGGAAACUCGGGCUAAUACCGGAUGUUCUCGUUUCUCUCAAGGGAUUCGAGCAAAAGAUAGCUUCGGCCUUCGCAUCGGGACGGGCCCGCGGCCCAUUAGCUUGUUGGUGGGGUAACGGCCUACCAAGGCGACGAUGGGUAGCUGGUCUGAGAGGACGAUCAGCCACACUGGGACUGAGACACGGCCCAGACUCCUACGGGAGGCAGCAGUGGGGAAUCUUGCGCAAUGCGCGAAAGCGUGACGCAGCAACGCCGCGUGGGGG